AAAAUAUUAUAUAAUCCCCCCAUGGAUCUAUUAUCUAAUUUUGUUUCAUCUGUAUCUCUCUUUCACUCCUCACCUCAUCACUGGAUCAUUUUUAAACAAAUCCCAGACAUUGUGUCUGUAUUAGUUUCCUAGGGCCGUCGUAACAAACUAUCACAAACAGAGUGUCUUAGAACAACCAGAAGUUUAUUCUCUCACAACCAGGAGGCCAAAAAUCUGAAAUCAAGGUUUUGAUGGGUUGGUUCUUCUGGAGGCCUUGAAGGAAAACCUGUUCCAUUCCACUCUCCUGGCUUCCUGUGAUAUUGACCAUCCUCAGUGUUUCUUGGCUUGUGGCUGCAUCUCUCCAAUCUCUGCCUCCAUCCACAUGGGCUUCUUCCCUGUGUGUGUCUGUGUGUUUCUCUGUGUCCUCUCCUUUGUUUUUAAUAAGGACACCAGUCGUUGGAUUUACAGCCCACCCUAAACCCAGGAUGAUUUCAUCUUGAGAUCCUUAAUUACAUCAGAAAAUAUCCUAUUUCCAAAGAGGAUCACAUUCUGAGGUUUCAGAUGGGGGCUCUAAGACUCAGAGAGAUGAAGAGACUUUCCCACAAAACUACUACGCGGCAGUUCCAGGAUUUGUAUCCGUUGUCGAACCCCAAAGUCCAGGUUCCUUUCACGAUCCAGGGCUCUGUCAACAGCGGUACCUUCAGCUCAGGCUUUCAUUGGGUCAUAAUGGGCUACUAUAGUUCUCCGAUGGGGGUUUUGAACAUAUCACCUGCUUUUUGAAAUUAAACAUUAUCUCUAACAUUUUUUCCUUCUUUCCUUCACUCAUUCACUUAUUCACUCAUGAAAUAUUUAUUAAACAUAUGUCAUGUGCCAGGUAAAAGAAGUGUGGUUCCUUCCCUUGAGGAUCUCAGAGUUCAGCAAAGGUAUAACCCUGAUGUUUACAGCAAAGACAUAGCUGUUAUAACAAGGAAUGUAUUCCGGAUGUCCUGGUGUGGGGAAAAGCAAGAGAGAUCAGAUUGUUACUGUGUCUGUGUGGAAAGAGGUAGACAUAGGAGACUCCAUUUUGUUCUGUACUAAGACAAAUUCUUCUGCCCUGAGAUGCUGUUAAUCUGUAACCUUACCCCCAACCCCGUGCUCUCUGAAACAUGUGCUGUGUCAACUCACGGUUAAAUGGAUUAAGGGCAGUGCAAGAUGUGCUUUGUUAAACAGAUGCUUGAAGGCAGCAUGCUCGUUAA
rnacentral:lncRNA from 1 species